AUUGAACGCUGGCGGCAUGCCUUACACAUGCAAGUCGAACGGCAGCACGGGAGCAAUCCUGGUGGCGAGUGGCGAACGGGUGAGUAAAGUAUCGGAACGUGCCCAGUCGUGGGGGAUAACGUAGCGAAAGUUACGCUAAUACCGCAUACGAUCUAUGGAUGAAAGCGGGGGAUCGCAAGACCUCGCGCGAUUGGAGCGGCCGAUAUCAGAUUAGGUAGUUGGUGGGGUAAAGGCUCACCAAGCCGACGAGCUGUAUCUGGUCUGAGAGGACGACCAGCAACACUGGGACUGAGACACGGCCCAGACUCCUACGGGAGGCAGCAGUGGGGAAUUUUGGACAAUGGGCGCAAGCCUGAUCCAGCCAUGCCGCGUGCAGGAUGAAGGCCUUCGGGUUGUAAACUGCUUUUGUACGGAACGAAAAGGUUUGACUUAAUACGUUGGACUCAUGACGGUACCGUAAGAAUAAGCACCGGCUAACUACGUGCCAGCCGCCGCAGUAA
rnacentral:rRNA from 1 species